ensembl:misc_RNA Metazoa_SRP Metazoan signal recognition particle RNA
GCCAGGUGUAGUGGCGUGCGCCUGUAGUCCCAGCUACUCAGGAGGCUGAGGCAGGAGAAUCACUUGAACCCAGGAGGCAGAGGUUACAGUGAGCCAAGAUCAUGACACUGUACCCUAGCCUGGGCAACAGAGUGAGACUUAGUCUCAA